UACGUAGGGUGCAAGCGUUUAAUCGGAAUUACUGGGCGUAAAGCGUGCGCAGGCGGUUGUGCAAGACAGAUGUGAAAUCCUCGGGCUCAACCUGGGAAUUGCAUUUGUGACUGCACGGCUAGAGUGUGUCAGAGGGGGGGUAGAAUUCCACGUGUAGCAGUGAAAUGCGUAGAGAUGUGGAGGAACACCGGUGGCGAAGGCGGCAUUCUGGACCGACAUUGACGCUGAGGAGCGGAAAGCCAGGGGAGCAAACGGG
rnacentral:rRNA from 1 species